rnacentral:RNase_P_RNA from 2 species
UCCGCUGCGUUCUCUGCCACCAUCGACGAAUGCUCCUGCUUGAUCGAGUAGUUGAGCGUCCGUCUCCUGCUUGCAGAUGAGAAAUUCGGAGUAAUCUUCAACCUGCACCUCUGUCCUCGUGUCACCUUCGACGGAGGACAAAUAGGACUGCCCGCGAGGGCCCAGCACGAUUUGCGUGCUCGCAACUGGCAUCAGAAAUUUACAGGGCCUCAGACUGCACCGUGUCUGACUUUGUCACUUGCGUGUCAGGGCUGAGGGAUUCCCUAUGGAAGAGCCAUUGCGAAGAUUGUCUGGCGUGUCUCCAAGAUGGAGCGCGUUCUUACUUAAGUGCAAUCGCAGCGGAAAUCUACGUCUUUCCGAUCUUCUUCGGAGGAUGGGAAUUUCUGGGAUUUUAAUUCGAUUCCGAUUACUCUGGG